UUCAGUAUCUGAUGUGACGAUCCUUCACUUUAAGAAAAAAACAGUAUCUGAGGUGCAGUGUGUGCAGUUUUAUAAGGAAAUGAGCUGGAAGUGUUACUGAGCAUCUUGCAGAAGCAGCCACAGUUCUUCUGGAGACUUUGACUGUCGACUCGCUUCUUAUUUCUGCAGCGAAACCCAGCAGCCUUCAUUAUGUUUUUAUCUGAAAAGUGUCUCUUAUGGAAUCUGCUGCUUUCUUUACUGACAUACAAACAUUUUUCUGUAACGUUUCAUUUUGUGCUGGAAAACUAAUGUUUGGAAUCUAAAAUGUUUUUGUACUGAAUCAAUAAUGUAGAAGUCAGAAAAUAAACAUCUAUAACAAAGUUUGUACUAAAAAAAAAAAUAGGGUGUCUAAGACUUCUGCACAGUACUGUAUAUAUUUACCUCUAAAUAUUAUUUAUAAUAUUUUUUUAAUCUAAUAUUCAAUACACACAGUUGCUGUUGUUCACAUAAAAUAUCGUCACUACCUCUCAGGGGUACGCUGCUUGGAAGAUUUUCUGCGGCAGCAUAAAGGCUCCCAGGAAAAAGGUUAAUAUUUGUGUUUAAAGACUGACAAACAUCAUGGUUAAAUUUAGCUAACUAAUAGGCUUUUUUCCAGGCAGUGUAGCCUGCUAGAAUUACUAGUGUAGGCAAAGUCAUAUUAGCCAGUGAAAUCUUUGUGUAAGGGCUAACACUAUAUAAAAAUGUACUUUUAAAUAAACAUAAAGUUGAGAAUCUAGAAAGCAACUGAGUAAAUAAAUGAUAUUUCAUGGUGAAUUAUGAAGUGCAAGACUUAUUGGAUUAAAUGCAGUGUAUUUAUGCAAUGCUUUGAUAAAAUUAUAAGGCAUGAAAAAAUAUUUGUCAGGCUUUGAGAAGAUUAGCAGCGACGUACUGUAUGCAGGGUGAAGUUAAACCCUGGGGUUUUAUUUACAUAAAGGCAGAAGCAAACAAUCCAAAAAGGCAAGCAAAAGCAGCAUCCAAAAAUAAAAUCCAAAGUCCAUGAGGCAAAUAAGGUAACAAAUGACUAGCAGUAAAUGCAAAACAGGAGGAAAAAAAAAACAAACAAAGAAAAAGACAAACUAAUGUAAAUAGAGGAGUAAAUGAGGGGUUAAUACGGGACUGGUGAGGACCUUCAGACUGCCUGAGCGAAUGCAGUUGAAUGAACCAGGGGAACAGGUGCUGGAGGGUGUAAAUUCAGAACAGUAUGCUGACGCUCCUGCUGUAACGUACCUACCAGUAAUAAACCGGAGGGUUGAAUCUGAUGUCUUUCAGCAAGAGGCAUCACAAGUCUUUACUGCACGCCACACACAGGAGUCCUGUAAAACCUCCAGAUGGUCCUUUAGAGAUGGGCAACAUCUUUUAAGAGCAAAGAUUCCCCCGAGCUAUGUAAAGAGGAAAAGAUGAAGAAGGAGAAAGAGAGAAUGGACAGUGAAAAGGUGCUCCCCACUCCUCUCUAUUUUUCUCUCUCGUCUUGUGCAGUGCUGUGACGCAGGUUUUUGGAUGGAUUUGUCAAUGCGAAGUAGGCGGAUAUCCCACGCCUUGCACUUUAUGAAUUUCUGUCUCCUAGCAACCAUAAGAACCCUUGUGCAUAUGUGGUGUGUGUGUGUGUGUGUGUGUGUGUCGGUGCAGGAGAAAAGGACUGACGAAUUAAGCAUGUCUGGAGGUGCAGAAAUAUUCCUCUUAGCAGGAGGAAUCCCAUCCAAAACUCCACAACUCCCAGACUCCUUCACUGUUGCCAUGGCAGCAGAGGGAUAUAUACACACAUGGCACAGAUUUCUGCAGCCAUUGCAGGGUGUAAGUGCCUCCCACAGGCCUGAAGGGCCACAAGUUUUCUCCUCUUCCUCGAUCGCUGCAGGCAACGGAGGAGUGGGCCACUACAUGAAGAAAAAGAACAGGUUGAGCCACAUAAAGCAUCUCGAUUGUGGAACUGAUGAGAAAAGAUUUCUCUGGAGGAGGUCUGAGGUUUACCUCAUGGAGGACAUCAAGUGCUGUGCUGCAUGUUUUGCAUCUACUCCUCUCUACUACAUCUACUCAAAUUGCACUGGGCUGCUUGGUGAGAGCAACCAUGGCACCAAUACUGAUGGUUACUCCUGAUCCAGGUCUCUUUCUGCUCCUUUGUCAGGCUCUAUAAUUUAACACAUUGGUUCAGGAAGUGCUUAGUACUAUCAAAGAAAGAACAGGUUUGGGCUUCUUUUUCAUAUGCUAAAAGGCUGACAAAUGCUAGUCAGCUCCAGGAAUGGUCAUUGUUUUAGAGGACUGGGACAUUUGGCCAAAUCCUAGGUAGGCUUUUGACUUGGUGGUGUCCAUCUGUGAACGUUGACCAAUCCUCCUGAAUUUGUACCUCCAACAAUUCUGUAAAGCCCAUGACUGUUGGAAUGGGAGUUUGUUAUGGGUUCACAUGCCAUUGGAAGUGAGCUAUCCAACAUGCCCACAAGUGACUGGAUUGACAUCAUAUCAGUUUUCUGCUUUAGAGCAAAGUCAUCAGGUUGCUCAUAUUGUGAGGGCCUCCACUGUACCUGUGUAUGGGUCCCUGCUGUUGCUUUGUAGUUUCUCAGUAACAUGAUAGGCUGCUUUUUUGUCUUAACUUUAAGAGAGAUUAAAAAAGGGAAGCAGAUGAGGGAAUGGCUCUUUAUAGUACUACUAUAACGUAAAUGAUAACAGCAACCAAUUCAUUUUGCAGAAGUUCUACAAAAUUAAAUGCAGAAAGAAUAAAACACACUUACUUGUGUAAAAGUGCUUCUACUGUUGUAAUGAUUACUAUUACUAUCUUAAGUACUAAGA